AACAGAUGAUUCCAGCCCUGUGCUGAUCGCCUGCCUUCCUCCUGCCAUUCAGAAUGCUGCUGUCUCGUGUACUUACUGUUAAGGAUCCUGGAAAAGGGAGUGGUUCCUCCUAGCUGCAAACAAGGGCGCUACUUUUCUUUUCUCUUUAAUAGAAUUACGUUUUAUAGGUGUGUCUAGGCAACACAAGGGAAUGUGAAAGACUUUCAGAGGGAAUGUUUGUGAAUACAUCUGGUGUGUACUAAAAAGCUGGAAAACCCCUAAGUAAAUGCAAUAUCGAUAGAAAGCGAGUUUCUUGAAGAGUCAUCUGCUAAACUCCACUAGAGUCAUCUCUACACCCAUAGGUCAAAUAAAAGAUUAAUAAUUUAGACAUAUCAGCUGUAAAUUCAUAAGAACCAUAUGGAUGUCCAAGUGGAGGUGGAGGAGGUGAUUAAGAUGGAAAAAGGCAACCAUGAAUGAAGACACACAGAUCCUCAACCUUUAAAACAGGUGUGGUUAAGAGAAAAAAAAAUUGCCAUUAAGGAAUCAGCAAAUAGGAUGUCUGAAGUGAGGAUAUAGCACCUAUCUCUGAGAUUAAAGUCAUCUGAUCAAAAAUGAUGCCUCUGAGACUAUAACAAAGGAAUGAAUAAUGAAAUAUAAGAAUGGGGAUUCUGCACUAACUCUAUGGGGAAGAAAACAAUGCAGAGACGAAGCUUCACCGUGUUAGCCAGGAUGGUCUCGAUCUCCUGACCUCAUGAUCUGCCUGCCUCGGCCUCCCAAAGUGCUGGGAUUACAGGUGUGAGCCACUGAGCCUGGCCCCAGUUUUAAUUGUUAAUACAGUAAUAUCAAUAGAUACAACCUGCAUAAACUAAAGCUCUUUGGGGCCUUCCAUGACAUUAAGAACGUAAGCGGUC
rnacentral:lncRNA from 1 species